AAAAAAAAAAAAAGAAUGCGAGUGACGUCACGUGCAGCAAGUGUGCAGCCACAGAAAUCGUCUUUGCGUCACUAAGAUUCUAAAUUCCUCGUCAUGAUGUCACAAGCAGAACUUCUAUAAAAGCAGCUGUUGAAAGUCUACCAUUCAUUUCAAUUUGGAGCGGGCGAUUUCGGACGACACGCGAGGCAGGGAACGUUGUCGACCGGUGAGGCGUGUCUGGUGAUGCGACAAAGUUGAGAUCUGUAUAACUUUAUGCAAGUUAAGAGGGACUUUCGGGAGCGGCAACCAGUGGCGACCUUUUUCUUGUUUUUAUUGUGUAUUUCUUGUUUUCUUGUUUUUAUAUAUAAAAAAAAAAAGAAUGCGAGUGACGUCACGUGCAGCAAGUGUGUAGCCACAGAAAUCGUCUUUGCGUCACUAAGAUUCUAAAUUAUGCAAGUGAAGAGGGACUUUCGGGUGCGGAAACCAGUGGCGACCUUUGUCACAAGAGGGAAGAGGGACUUUCGGGAGCGGCAACCAGGAUUGAAAACUUCUAUAAAAGCAGCUGUUGAAAGUCUACCAUUCAUUUCAAUUUGGAGCGGGCGAUUUCGGACGACGCGCGAGGCAGGGAACGUUGGCGUCCGGUGAGGCGCGUCUGGUGAUGCGACAAUGUUGAGAUCUGUUUAACUUUAUGCAAGUGAAGAGGGACUUUCGGGAGCGGCAACCAGGAUUGAAAACUUCUAUAAAAGCAGCUGUUGAAAGUCUACCAUUCAUUUCAAUUUGGAGCGGGCGAUUUCGGACGCGAGGCAGGGAACGUUGGCGACCGGUGAGGCGCGUCUGGUGAUGCGACAAAGUUGAGAUCUGUAUAACUUUAUACAAGUUAAGAGGGACUUUCGGGAGCGGCAACCAGUGGCGACAUUUUUCUUGUUUUUAUUGUGUAUUUCUUGUUUUCUUGUUUUUAUAUAUAUAAAAAAAGAAUGCGAGUGACGUCACGUGCAGCAAGUGUGCAGCCACAGAAAUCGUCUUUGCGUCACUAAGAUUCUAAAUUAUGCAAGUGAAGAGGGACUUUCGGGAGCGGCAACCAGGAUUGAAAACUUCUAUAAAAGCAGCUGUUGAAAGUCUACCAUUCAUUUCAAUUUGGAGCGGGCGAUUUCGGACGACACGCGAGGCAGGGAACGUUGGCGACCGAACUUCUAUAAAAGCAGCUGUUGAAAGUCUACCAUUCAUUUCAAUUUGGAGCGGGCGAUUUCGGACGACACGCGAGGCAGGGAACGUUGUCGACCGGUGAGGCGCGUCUGGUGAUGCGACAAAGUUGAGAUCUGUUUAACUUUAUGCAAGUUAAGAGGGACUUUCGGGAGCGGCAACCAGUGGCGACCUUUUUCUUGUUUUUAUUGUGUAUUUCUUGUUUUCUUGUUUUUAUAUAUAUAAAAAAAGAAUGCGAGUGACGUCACGUGCAGCAAGUGUGCAGCCACAGAAAUCGUCUUUGCGUCACUAAGAUUCUAAAUUAUGCAAGUGAAGAGGGACUUUCGGGAGCGGAAACCAGUGGCGACAUUUGUCACAAGAGGGAAGAGGGACUUUCGGGAGCGGCAACCAGGAUUGAAGUCAGUAGAGUGCAGUGCUGAGUUUGACCGAGGCAAUUUAAACGAGAAGCUCAUUUUAGCAGUCAGAAACUGUCCUAUUAUUUAUUGGUCUGUCCCUUAUUUACUGCCUUGCUUACUUUGUCUUUGAGUAUACUGUUUUUUGUGCUUUUUCUUGUUUUUAUUGUGUAUUUCUUGUUUUCUUGUUUAUAUAUACAUAUAUAUAUAUACAUACAGAGCUUUAUAUGUGUAUAUAUAUAUAUAUAUAUAUAUAUAUAUAUCCCCGGAUGUAUUUUUUGUGCUUUUUCACAAGCAGAACUUCUAUAAAAGCAGCUGUUGAAAGUCUACCAUUCAUUUCAAUUUGGAGCGGGCGAUUUCGGACGACACGCGAGGCAGGGAACGUUGUCGACCGGUGAGGCGUGUCUGGUGAUGCGACAAAGUUGAGAUCUGUAUAACUUUAUGCAAGUUAAGAGGGACUUUCGGGAGCGGCAACCAGUGGCGACCUUUUUCUUGUUUUUAUUGUGUAUUUAUUGUGUUCUUGUUUUUAGAAAAAAAAAAAGAAUGCGAGUGACGUCACGUGCAGCAAGUGUGCAGCCACAGAAAUCGUCUUUGCGUCACUA